rnacentral:rRNA from 1 species
GACGUAGGGGGCGAGCGUUGUCCGGAUUUAUUGGGCGUAAAGAGCUCGUAGGCGGCUUAGUAAGUCGGGUGUGAAACCUCCAGGCUCAACCUGGAGACGCCACCCGAUACUGCUGUGGCUAGAGUCCGGUAGGGGAGCGUGGAAUUCCUGGUGUAGCGGUGAAAUGCGCAGAUAUCAGGAGGAACACCAGCGGCGAAGGCGGCGCUCUGGGCCGGUACUGACGCUGAGGAGCGAAAGCGUGGGGAGCAAACAGG